GGGCUGACUGUGAAGGCUCUGAGAGACUCUGGGUUGGUCUGAGAGAGGUGUUAGUGGGCUGACUGUGAAGGCUCUGAGAGACUCUGGGUUGGUCUGAGAGAGGUGUUAGUGGGCUGACUGUGAAGGCUCUGAGAGACUCUGGGUUGGUCUGAGAGAGGUGUUAGUGGGCUGACUGUGAAGGCUCUGAGAGACUCUGGGUUGGUCUGAGAGAGGUGUUAGUGGGCUGACUGUGAAGGCUCUGAGAGACUCUGGGUUGGUCUGAGAGAGGUGUUAGUGGGCUGACUGUGAAGGCUCUGAGAGACUCUGGGUUGGUCUGAGAGAGGUGUUAGUGGGCUGACUGUGAAGGCUCUGAGAGACUCUGGGUUGGUCUGAGAGAGGUGUUAGUGGGCUGACUGUGAAGGCUCUGAGAGACUCUGGGUUGGUCUGAGAGAGGUGUUAGUGGGCUGACGGUGAAGGCUCUGAGAGACUCUGGGUUGGUCUGAGAGAGGUGUUAGUGGGCUGACUGCGAAGGCUCUGAGAGACUCUGGGUUGGUCUGAGAGAGGUGUUAGUGGGCUGACUGCGAAGGCUCUGAGAGACUCUGGGUUGGUCUGAGAGAGGUGUUAGUGGGCUGACUGCGAAGGCUCUGAGAGACUCUGGGUUGGUCUGAGAGAGGUGUUAGUGGGCUGACUGUGAAGGCUCUGAGAGACUCUGGGUUGGUCUGAGAGAGGUGUUAGUGGGCUGACUGUGAAGGCUCUGAGAGACUCUGGGUUUAGGUCGGUGAGGAAGUAGUCU